GCGGGUGUCGUAUAAUGGUUAUUAUGCUACCUUGCCAAGGUAGCGAAGGCGGUUCGAAUCCGCUCACCCGCU
rnacentral:tRNA from 1 species